ensembl:lncRNA
AUCAAAUGGGGAGGUGCGUUUCAGGAUGGGGCCGGUUCAACAGUUGGAGAAGAGGUGGAACAAGUAAACAGUUUCCUGUCUAGGGCGGCCAUCACAACGAAGUACAUGUCUAAAGCAGGUGUGUGUCCGUGUCUGAGAUUCCACUCAGUCUCCUGCUCAUUCAUUCUUAUUUGUAUACUAACUGAAAUGCAGGGCGAACAGACAUGCUGACCCUCCUGGCUUUGGGCUGGAACAAAAGGAAAGUGGAACAACUGGGCCGCACUUUGAGCCAGCGAUAUCUAAAGAUCAUAAGGAUCCUUAGAGAACAAGUGGAGAGCCUGAAUGCGAGCAGAAAUGAGCUGGGUGUGGAUGACGACACACUGCAGCAAUGGGCUGAAGAUAGCAACAAGAGGCGACACAGAAUUCGCAAGGUCAUCUUAGUUGAGAAGAAACGCUUGGCGGCUGCUGUUGACGACUACAACAAGCUCGCUGAACCAACAAAGCAAAUCGUAUCCAGUGAUGCCCUCAUGCAGAGCGACGUUUGGCCCUGGCAGAGCACAAGUGAACCUGCUGCUGACCUCCGGACAAAGAGAAAGGUCUUUGAGAAGGUGAUGGCUGUGAGGCGCCUGAGAGAGGAGGAGAUGAUGCUCUGCAGGGAGAUGCAGCAUCACUGGACAGUGUUGCGAAUGCGUUCUGUGGUGUUGGGGACAAUCUCCUCAGACUCCUCCUUUGUUGGCAUGUCGGAGGAUGCACAGAAGGGACUCUGUAGCCUGGUUUUAAAAAAACAAAGUGAACUGAAAGCUGAAAUGCUCAAAGUAAAGGACGUGUACAAGAGAAUCCUCAGCCACCAACCACUCCUGGAAAUGGACUCGGAGGAGGAGGAGGACAUUCCAGACGAUGCCACUGAGAGUGAUUUGAGCACUUCUGAUGAAGACUGAUUGUGUCAUCAUUGAUGUUAUGUUUGGUAAAAUAAAAAGUUAAUC